AGCGAACGCUCGCGGCAGGCCUAACACAUGCAAGUCGAACGGAUCCUUCGGGAUUAGUGGCGGACGGGUGAGUAACACGUGGGAACGUGCCCUUUGGUUCGGAACAACUCAGGGAAACUUGAGCUAAUACCGGAUGUGCCCUUCGGGGGAAAGAUUUAUCGCCAUUGGAGCGGCCCGCGUCUGAUUAGCUAGUUGGUGGGGUAAAGGCCCACCAAGGCGACGAUCAGUAGCUGGUCUGAGAGGAUGAUCAGCCACAUUGGGACUGAGACACGGCCCAAACUCCUACGGGAGGCAGCAGUGGGGAAUCUUGCGCAAUGGGCGAAAGCCUGACGCAGCCAUGCCGCGUGAAUGAUGAAGGUCUUAGGAUUGUAAAAUUCUUUCACCGGGGACGAUAAUGACGGUACCCGGAGAAGAAGCCCCGGCUAACUUCGUGCCAGCAGCCGCCGUAAAAC
rnacentral:rRNA from 1 species